CCCGGUGGCUAAAGCGGGGCGCCCCCACCCGAUCCCAUCCCGAACUCGGAAGUGAAACGCCCCAGCGCCAAUGGUACUGUGUCUCAAGACACGGGAGAGUAGGACGCCGCCGGGC
rfam:Nesiotobacter exalbescens strain WB1-6 contig_36, whole genome shotgun sequence.